UACGUAGGGUGCGAGCGUUAAUCGGAAUUACUGGGCGUAAAGCGUGCGCAGGCGGUUAUUUAAGUCAGGUGUGAAAGCCCUGGGCUUAACCUAGGAAUUGCGCUUGAGACUGGAUAGCUUGGAGUGCGGCAGAGGGAGGUGGAAUUCCACGUGUAGCAGUGAAAUGCGUAGAGAUGUGGAGGAACACCAGUGGCGAAGGCGGCUCACUGGCCCGGUACUGACGCUGAGGUGCGAAAGCGUGGGGAGCAAACAGG
rnacentral:rRNA from 1 species